GGGAAUAUAGCUCAGAGGUAGAGCACUUACCAAGAAUGUGGGAGGCCCUGGGUUCAAUCCCCAGUACUACCC
rnacentral:tRNA from 1 species